AAUGAACGUUGGCGGCGUGGAUUAGGCAUGCAAGUCGUGCGAUAUUCCCUCGCAAGGGGGAUGAAAGCGGCGACAGGGAGAGUAACGCGUGGAUACCUACCCUGGGGACCGGGAUAGCCGUGGGAAACUGCGGGUAAUACCGGAUAACGUCUUCGGACCAAAGGUGUGAUUCCGCCCUGGGAUGGGUCCGCGUCCUAUUAGCUAGUUGGCAGGGUAAUGGCCUACCAAGGCGAUGAUGGGUACGGGGUGUGAGAGCAUGACCCCGCUCACUGGGACUGAGACACUGCCCAGACACCUACGGGUGGCUGCAGUCGAGGAUCUUCGGCAAUGGGCGCAAGCCUGACCGAGCGACGCCGUGUGCGGGAUGAAGGCCUUCGGGUUGUAAACCGCUGUCAGAGGGGAGGAAGUACCGGGAAGUAAUACAUAAUCGACCCGGUUUGACCUAUCCUCAGAGGAAGUACGGGCUAAGUUCGUGCCAGCCGCCGCCGUAACAC
rnacentral:rRNA from 1 species